rnacentral:rRNA from 1 species
AAUAUUGCGCAAUGGAGGGAACGCUGACGCAGCGACGCCGCGCGAGCGAUGAAGGUAUUCGGAUCGUAACGCUCUGUCCUUGGGGAAGACGGUCUUCGCACUUGCCGGUACCGAAGGAGGAAGCCCCGGCUAACUACGUGCCAGCAGCCGCGGUAAUACGUAGGGGGCAAGCGUUGUCCGGAAUUAUUGGGCGUAAAGGGUGCGUAGCCGGCCUUUUAAGUAAGAUGUGAAAGCCCACGGCUUAACCGUGGGACUGCAUUUGAAACUGGAGGGCUUGAGUAACGGAGAGGGUAGUGGAAUUCCCAGUGUAGCGGUGGAAUGCGUAGAUAUUGGGAGGAACACCAGUGGCGAAGGCGACUACCUGGACGAAAACUGACGCUGAGGCACGAAAGCUAGGGGAGCAAAC